AAGCGUGCGCAGGCGGUUAUGUAAGACAAGAUGUGAAAUCCCCGGGCUCAACCUGGGAACUGCAUUAGUGACUGCAUAGCUGGAGUACGGCAGAGGGGGAUGGAAUUCCGCGUGUAGCAGUGAAAUGCGUAGAUAUGCGGAGGAACACCGAUGGCGAAGGCAAUCCCCUGGGCCUGUACUGACGCUCAUGCACGAAAGCGUGGGGAGCAAACAGGAUUAGAUACCCGGGU
rnacentral:rRNA from 1 species